rnacentral:rRNA from 1 species
GACGAACGCUGGCGGCGUGCUUAACACAUGCAAGUCGAACGGGUCUGCCCUGUUUUUUGCGGGGUGGGUCAGUGGCGAACGGGUGAGUAACACGUGAGUAACCUGCCCCUCACUUCUGGAUAACCGCUUGAAAGGGUGGCUAAUACGGGGUGUUCUGGCUGUGCCGCAUGGUGUGGCUGGGAAAGAUUCACUUUUGUGGUGUUUUGGUGGGGGAUGGGCUCGCGGCCUAUCAGCUUGUUGGUGGGGUGAUGGCCUGCCAAGGCUUUGACGGGUAGCCGGCCUGAGAGGGUGGGCGGUCACACUGGGACUGAGAUACGGCCCAGACUCCUGCGGGAGGCAGCAGUGGGGGGUAUUGCACAAUGGGCGGAAGGCUGAUGCAGCGACGGCGCGUGAGGGAUGGAGGCCUUCGGGUUGUGAACCUCUUUCGCCGGUGAAGAAGGUCCUGCUCUUUGUGGUGGGGUUGACGGUAGCCGGGUUAUGAAGCGCCGGCUAACUACGUG